rnacentral:rRNA from 1 species
AUUGAACGCUGGCGGCAUGCCUUACACAUGCAAGUCGAACGGUAACAGGUUAAGCUGACGAGUGGCGAACGGGUGAGUAACACAUCGGAACGUGCCCAAUCGUGGGGGAUAACGUAGCGAAAGCUACGCUAAUACCGCAUACGAUCUACGGAUGAAAGCGGGGGAUCGCAAGACCUCGCGCGAAUGGAGCGGCCGAUGGCAGAUUAGGUAGUUGGUGAGGUAAAGGCUCACCAAGCCUGCGAUCUGUAGCUGGUCUGAGAGGACGACCAGCCACACUGGGACUGAGACACGGCCCAGACUCCUACGGGAGGCAGCAGUGGGGAAUUUUGGACAAUGGGCGAAAGCCUGAUCCAGCCAUUCCGCGUGCAGGAUGAAGGCCCUCGGGUUGUAAACUGCUUUUGUACAGAACGAAAAGGUUUCUACUAAUACUAGGAGCUCAUGACGGUACUGUAAGAAUAAGCACCGGCUAACUACGUGCCAGCCGCCGCUGUAA